rnacentral:misc_RNA from 1 species
AAGAGACGUUGCCCUUCGGGGUAUACCUCCCACCCUUUGUUUAUUAUACCUUUGUUGCUUUGGCGGGCCCGUCCUCGGACCACCGGCUUCUGCUGGUCAGUGCCCGCCCGAGGACCUAAAACUCUGUUUGUUAAUAUUGUCUGAGUACUAUAUAAUAGUUA